UUAAAGCUUUCAGAUACACUUUUUGUUAAUUGAGAUCUUAAUGACGCUACAUUGUACUUCUAAGUAAAUAGAUGCUCAAAGUAACAAGAUGCUCUGGGUGUUCACUGGGUGACAAAGGCUACCCUGUAUUGGUUGUUUCUUUUUUCUGAAAAGAUGUUUCUAGUGAAUUGCCAAGUUGCAGUGGUUUUGACGCCACAGAACCAGCACAGCUCCAUGACAGAUAUAUAUAUGUUUUCGUCAUUGAUGUCGGUACUGCUGUAUUGGUGGCCUCACAAUUUCUGUGUGGAAAUGUCAUCUGAUACACUCAUAACUGCGUAUUUCUAGCAUAGCUUUCAUAAGUGCAUGGCCAUUCUCUGUCAUUUUCAGAUACACUGUGUUGUGUGUGGAUAAGAAAUGCAGAGUGGUACCACCAAUCACCUAAGCCACCAUUCCCCUUACAGACAAAAGGCUCAUGGAGACAGUUCCUGCAGUUUACAGCAAAGCUCUCAAUUGUAGCCCUACAAACUUCAGAUACUGCCCAUGGUGAAGCUUGGGUGCACUGGGCCGGUUAUCCAGCCGAGUGGAAUCCACAUCUCCAGCUGAACUUGGGCCGGGAAUUAUAUAAGAAUCCUUAGCAGCAUGAGUGCCAGCCAGUCAUUGCUGUUCUUUGCAUUGCUGAGGAGGACAGUCCUGCCAACAUAACAGUUUGUUCAAUAACAGGAGACAAACAGAAACACAGAGGUGCUAUACAUUUCAAUGGAAAAACAAAAGCAUCUCCUAUCAUUUUGGCGUGGCUCAGAUCAAGAGGAGAAUUUCAAGAAAGGUGAUGGUUGGCACACACAAGAAGACAUAGGUCACAGGUGUCCAGGCAUAUGAGCAGACAGGAGUUUCACACUCUGCCAAACUUACUUCAUCAGAGGAGCAGAAGGCUUCUCAAGAUCCCGCACUGCACACUUAGAUAUAGUCUUUGACUACAACAAGGGGAUGAAAGUACAGAAAGGUCCAAUUGAAAUCAAUUCUGUGCUGCGUCAUUUCUUCAUUCUGGAAGUCGAUGGACAUGAUUUAUCAUGGCAUCAAGUGUGCAGUUUGCCGACUAUCAGCAGUCUUGUUCACCAGCUGUGCAACUUGAGCUGGUAGCUUUAUUGCUUGAAGCCACUGCAUAAAAGGGGGAAGGUGCAGGCUCAUCAAAAAGUCUCAAAAGUUGAAACUAGGAAAAGAAGUUUGUGAAAACAAUCGUUAAAAUGAUUUGGUUUCCUUUGAAACUUAAUACAUACUAUGUGUAUGUUGAAUGAAUUGAGAUGCUUAAAUAAAGAACCGCUAUUCAAAUAUCAGGAAACUGCAUUUUUCAUACUAAUGGGUAAAUGAUGUCGCCAUUUCCUGUAUGUAUUUAAAUAAGAUAUGUUUCCACAAUUAAUAUUUUUAGGGAAUUUUUCUCAACCUAAUGAAUGAGAUUAAAUUGUACAGCGUUAUAUGAGCUUAAUAUGUGUUUUCUGUUUCUUUAAAAUUGGUGAAAAAUUGUCAGAAGAUAAUUAGACCAGUAUCCAUUACUGCAAUCAUACAAUCAAAUAUACAGGGACAAACCCACUGGGCAUAUAAUAUAAUUAAACCCUGUUUAGGGGCACGAGGCAAACAGAGUUACUUUCAAACGUUAAAGCUGCACUCUCACAUUUUGGACGUUUUGACAACUUUUCUCAUUUUAUGUCUUGGAUUGGAACCAUCCAAUUUUUGCGAAAAAUUAAUUGGUAGAUUUUUCUAUUUAAGUUAAAAAUUGAUGUUUUAUGCACUUUUCUUAAACCGUUAGUAACAUUAAUUUUCGAACGGAAAUCUGAAAUCUGUGAUCUGAUCUUUUGUCAGCAAUCUUUUAUCAUUGGUUUGCAGAUAAUUACGCCAAAAAAUACUCAUUCCAAAACAAAAAAGGUGUGAAAACGGUAUAACUGUGGGAGUGCAGCUCUAAAUGUUUAAUUUCUUGAUUUUACUACUGUAUUAGAAAUUACAGGGGUUGGAGCAUAUUUUUAGUGUUUUUAUUCCUUUUUUAUGAUUCAUACAGUCAUACUUUAUUCCUCAGGGCAUAACUUACAAAUAGACAAAACUGGAAAAUGGUCAUUUCAAAAGGUCAAAGAUAAUGCAAGUUGAACAAUCAUAUUGUUCAUGGCUUGUUUUUUUGGUAUAUUUUGUUGCAUAUGCUAUAGAAAAGUUGAAAGUUAAAAAUAAAUUCAUAGUUGAAAUAAUGGCUUUGAAUGGUAUUGUCAGAUAAGAAACGGCACUAUUAAGAAAUAGGUACAAUGGUACUUUAUUUAUUUUGAUCAAUUUUAAAUAUUGUAUGAAAAUUAUUAUCUUAUUUAGUACAUGAGAACUUUUAAACAGUUAUUGACAAUAUAACAAUGUGUAUAUGAAGCUUUAGAUCAACACUUAAAGCUGCAUUCUUAUAGAUUGUCAGUUAAGACACAAAAUUGUCUCAAAAUCUGCUGAUUAGGUUAUCAUUCCUUUAAUUCAGUCAUAUUAGAUAAUUCACAAUAGAACCAAUCAGAAAUGUUUGGUAAAACUGCCGAAAAUUUCAUUUACAUUAAAUUGUUCGUAAUGCUUUUAGCCAUAAAACAUCAUUUUUUAACAUAAAUAUGAUAAACUGCAAUCUGAUCUUUUUUCAGCAGUCUUAUAUCACUUAAAAUUGGGUCUAGACAUUUAUGCAAAAAAAUGUCCAUUUAUAGACAAACAAUAAAAGAGUACCGGUAGUCAAAACGAUCAAUCGGUGAGAUUGCAGCUUUAAAUACACCUUUUAAGACCGCUGUAAAAUUCCAAUGGUUUGCCUAAAUUUUUAAAGCUAGCAUACUGUUUAAUUGACAACCAUACUUAUUGUUUAAAAGUGUCAUGAUA